rnacentral:rRNA from 1 species
AUGCAUGUCUAAGUACAAGCCGAUAUUGACGGUGAAACCGCGAAUGGCUCAUUAAAUCAGUUAUGGUUCCUUAGAUCGUCCAAUCCUACUUGGAUAACUGUAGUAAUUCUAGAGCUAAUACAUGCAACCAAGCUCCGACCUUCGGGGAAGAGCGCUUUUAUUAGACCAAGACCAAUCGGGGGCAACCCCGUCGCUCUGGUGACUCUGGAUAACUUUGAGCUGAUCGCACGGCCCUUGCGCCGGCGACGUAUCUUUCAAAUGUCUGCCCUAUCAACUUUCGAUGGUACGUGCUAUGCCUACCAUGGUUGUAACGGGUAACGGGGAAUCAGGGUUCGAUUCCGGAGAGGGAGCAUGAGAAACGGCUACCACA